rnacentral:rRNA from 1 species
GACGAACGCUGGCGGCGUGCUUAACACAUGCAAGUCGAACGGAAAGGCCCUGCUUUUGUGGGGUGCUCGAGUGGCGAACGGGUGAGUAACACGUGAGUAACCUGCCCUUGACUUUGGGAUAACUUCAGGAAACUGGGGCUAAUACCGGAUAGGAGCUCCUGCUGCAUGGUGGGGGUUGGAAAGUUUCGGCGGUUGGGGAUGGACUCGCGGCUUAUCAGCUUGUUGGUGGGGUAGUGGCUUACCAAGGCUUUGACGGGUAGCCGGCCUGAGAAGGUGACCGGCCACAUUGGGACUGAGCUACGGCCCAGAGUCCUACGGGAGGCAGCAGUGGCGAGUAUUGCACAAUGGGCGGAAGCCUGAUGCAGCAACGCCGCGUGCGGGAUGACGGCCUUCGGGUUGUAAACCGCUUUCGCCUGUGACGAAGCGUGAGUGACGGUAAUGGGUAAAGAAGCACCGGCUAACUACGUG